GAAUGUACAGAAGAGGCAGAAACGUACAAAGGACAAAACCCCAGAGAUACCAGCUGGAGGGGGCCUGGGUGUUGCAGGUGUUCAGGGCGACUCACCUAGUCUGUAACUUUUCCUAGCGGGCGGCUAAGGCCGGGGACUGAUGUCCACCUUUAGAGAAAUGCCUGGAAACAUCCUGGAAUGGGGGCAAGAGCCCUCAGGGACUCCGGAACAGAGGGGCCCAGGAAGCCCGACCAGUCAGGCAGGCUGUCACCAGCAGCCCCGCCCUCGACACCCAGGCUCCCCCGCAGGGCAGUCAGAGGUCGCCGCCGGCUCGGUCCCCACGCGGCGGGCGCGCGCAGAUCCCGGAGGGCGCCCAGGAGGCGGCGGCUCCCGGCGCCGCUUCCGCUGGGGGCCGGUUCAUUGGCACGGGGUCGCGCGGAGCGGCGGGAGGGCGGGCGGUGCCUGACAGCUGUGGGCCGGCGGCGCACGGUGGCUGCGGAGUCGAGGCGGCUGGUGCAAGGUCCCGCCCUGACCACAGCUGCCCUUCAGGAGACUGGCCUGGAGCCACGGUCGGGCCACUGGGCUGCUUGUCAAGGGUGGGGCAGUGGCGACUUGCCGCCUUGCCUCGUCAGCCCGGCCUGGGGCUCCACCUGGCACUCGGUGCGGCCACGGAGAGAGCUCCAGGAGGAGCCCCGGCGCAGCAGGACCCCGGAGACCGGGAUCCAGAAGGAACCGCAGGAGAGACCAGUCAAGGUUCUGAAACAACUCGAAGAAAUUGACAGAUCUGGAUGGCCACGCCCGACAGGAGAGUGGUCUCCAGACCCCGGGGACCUGGCUGGGGGCACCAGGGGAGCGGGGCCUGCCCGGGCUCCCUGGACGACCUGCCGCGUGAGGGGACCCAGGAGCUGGCACCAGCACAGCUGACCAUGCUGAGGAAGGCACAGGAGUUCUUCCAGACCUGUGAUGCCGAGGGCAAGGGCUUCAUCACCAGGAGGGAUAUGCAGAGGCUGCAUGAGGAGCUGCCCCUCAGCCUGGAGGACCUGGAGGAUGUGUUUGAUGCCCUGGAUGCUGACGGCAAUGGCUUUCUGACCCCAGCGGAGUUCACCACUGGAUUUAGUCACUUCUUCUUCAGCCAGAAGAAGCCGAGUGAGGAAGAUGGAGCUGAGCACCUGGCCCAGCUCCAGGAAGAGAAGGUGUAUCAGACCAGAGGGUGUGAGGAUCUGGGUGACAUGGACGGAGAUGAGGAAGGCCAGUUCCAGAUGCUGAUGGACAGGCUUGGAGUCCAAAAGGUUUGGCAAGAUGAAAAUGACGUCAAGCAACUCUGGCUGCAGCUGAAGAAGGACGAGCCUCACUUACUGUCCAACUUUGAGGAUUUCCUGACCAGAAUCUUCUCGCAGCUCCUAGAAGCCCACGAGGAGAAGCAUGAGCUGGAGUGCGCCCUGAAAAGGAAAAGUGCUGCCUAUGAUGAAGAGAUCCAGCACCUCUACGAGGAGAUGGAACGGCAAAUCAAAAGCGAGGAAGAGCAGUUUCUCCUGAAGGACACGGAGAGGUUCCAGGCGUGCAGUCAGGAGCUGGAACGGAAGCUGUUCUCCAAGGAGCAGGAACUGGAGCGGCUCAUCCAGAAGCAGAAGCGGCUGGAAGGCCAGUGCACCGCCCUGCACAACGACAAGCACGAAACCAAGGCUGAGAACACCAAGCUGAAACUCACCAACCAGGAGCUGGCCGGGGAGUUGGAGCGGACAUCCUGGGAGCUGCAGGAUGCCCAGCAGCAGCUGGAAAGCCUCCAGCAAGAGGCCCGAAAACUCCACCAGGAGAAGGAGAUGGAAGUGUACCGCGUCACGGAGAGUCUGCAGCGGGAGAAGUCAGGGCUCCUGAAACAGCUGGAUUUCCUAAGGGAAAGGAACAAGCAUCUUCGGGAUGAACGGGACAUAUGUUUUCAGAAAGACAAGGCAGCCAAGGCAAACACAGCUGCUUCCAAGGCAAGCCAGAAGCAGCGAUCUGGCUCUGUGAUCGGCAAAUACGUGGAUGGCGGAGGGACGCUCAGAAGCCAGUCAGAGGAGGAGGAAGAUGUGUUUGGCAUCCUGCGGAGGAGAAGCUCCCUGGGCCUGAGUGGGCACCCCCUUACAGAAGAGGGGCUGGGGACCGGGGGUCUGCUCUCCCGGCCGCUCCGCAGAAUCAUCUCCAUUGAAGAGGACCCGCUGCCCCAGCUGCUGGGGGGCGGCUCUGAACAGCCACUGGGCCAAUGCCCGGAAGAAGCGGAGGCCUUCGACCAGGGGGCGGAGGGACAAAUCGGGCCGUCCCGACCUCUGGAACUCAUGCCUGCGUCUCCCCGAGGGCAGCCCGUCGGAAAAGAGACCCCGUCUAAGGAGGAAGGCUCUGUGUCCACCCCAGACCGGCUCUUCAAGGUCGUGUUUGUGGGCAAUUCCUCCGUGGGGAAGACGUCCUUCCUGAGCCGGUUCUGCGACGGCAAGUUCUCCCCGGGUUCAGCAGCCACCAUGGGCAUCGAUUACCGCAUGAAGACCGUGCGUGUGGACGACUUGCGGGUGGCCCUGCAGCUGUGGGACACGGCGGGGCAGGAGAGGUAUCGCUGCAUCACCCAGCAGUUCUUCCGCAAGGCCGACGGCGUCGUGGUCAUGUACGAUCUCACAGCCAGGCAGUCCUUCCUGGCCGUGCGCCCGUGGCUGAGCAGCGUGGAGGAAGCUGUGGGAGACCGCAUUCCCGUUCUUCUGCUGGGCAACAAAGUUGACAACGAGAAGGAGCGGGAAGUGCCGCGGGGCCUGGGAGAGCAGCUGGCCCAGACAGGGACUCAGGACCUCAGAGGCUAGGAAAGCAGGCACAGGUGGUGAAACUCAAGGGAAAAAGGAAGAAGAGAGUCCCACAGCUGCAUGUCCAUGGGCUGCAUCCACAAUUCCCAGUCCAAGGAGCUCUGAGCACAGAGGUUUUUGCAUUGCGUUUGGCAGAAAAAUCCUGACCGGAACCGAUGUGAGGCUAUUUAUGGGUUUUGUUUACCUCACUUUGAAUAAAUAUUCAAAUAUUUCACUGAAGAAUUAUUAAUAUAUUUGAUUAUAGCCUGCUAUCCCAGAUCCACAGAGGCUAUUAAAUAAUAUGUAUUAUAGACAAGUAUUCACUUUCUAAAACUCAAAAAUUCUGGAUUCCAAAAUGCAUCUGGAUCCAAGGUUUUUGAUUAAGGAAGUGCAGACCUGUGUUUUUAGUUUGUCAUCCCAUUUUCUUUUCUUUUCUUUCUUUCUUUCUUUUUCUGUCUUUCUGUCUUUCUGUCUUUCUGUCUUUCUCUCUUCCUUUCUAGUGGAAAAAAACCCUGUGGCUCCUAGAAGUUAAGUGAUUUAUUCAAAUUCUCACCCGGCCCCAGGGGUGGGGUCAGGACUCGAAGCUGGAAGGCAAAUCACAUCUCCCAGUUCUAGGUCCUGCAUGCUGCCCGCACCCACACAGAACCUUAAACCUUCCACAGAUGGAAGGGGAGUCAGGGCCCAACCGAGGCAUGCAGGGACCAGACCAGGUGAAGGCAGAGGAUGGAGCUGGGCCAGCGUUCGCGGGGCCUCCUGAUCUGCAACCACAGAAGUGUCUGCACUCAGCUACCCGUCCCCCCAGGGCGUCAGCCUCCAGGGCUCAUGCCAGAUGCCAUUAGCAUUGUCAUUAAGGAAGCAGGAAACCUAUUAAUGGGAGUGACAAGUGGAAUAAGAUGGGCCUUGGCCACGACACCCCUACCUCCACUCUCACAGUCCAGCUUCUGCCUAGCAAAGGGAUGGACAAUUGUCCUGUGGAGCCAGUGCGGAUGGCGCGGGCAGCGGCGUAUUAAUUAACUGGUGUAUGAAUUAACUGUGCCCGUGUCCUGGGGAAAGCAGGCUGCUGGGAGCCCCGCUGUGACCCAAACAGGCCCACCCGCCAUUCGUACCCUCCUGAGCCUCAGUUUCCCUGCCUGUAAAGUGGGAUGGAUGUUGCCCACCCUGGCCUCUGUGUCUCGGCCUGCAUCACAGGCUGGUGUGAAAAGAAAGGAGCCCGUACAUCCCGGACAGCAAUUCCAGAAAGUGUAAAACACGAAGGCAGCAGUGUAGGUCCUAUUGUUUUAUAGUUGUUACGGCUCCCCUGAGAGAUAGUUCCAGAGCCUGCAUCAGUCAGGGAGCAGGAGGGACAGAAAUCAACCUGGUACAGAGUGGGGAGGGGACGACACAAGGAAGUGAGGGUGUGGUAAGUGCAGAGGGGCAUUCUCCCAUGCCCCCCAUGGCUCCCUCCAGCCCCCCCCCCCCCAUAUUCUCCUUCAUGCCCUCUGUUCUCUGAUUCCAGGAGCACAACCUGAUCUUCUACGAAUGCAGUGCCUAUUCCGGUCACAACACCCAAGAGUCCGUGCUCCAUCUGGCCAGGAUCCUCAAGGAACAAGAAGACACAGUGAGGGAGGACACCAUUCAG